rnacentral:rRNA from 1 species
GUCUUUUUGUAUUUAAUAUAAAGUCUAACCUGCCCAUUGAAUAUUUUAAAAGGCUGCGGUAUAUUGACCGUACAAAGGUAGCAUAAUCAUUAGUUUUUUAAUUGAAAACUUGUAUGAAUGGUUGAAUGAGAAAUUAACUUUUUUAAAUAAAAUAUUGAAUUUUACUUUUUAGUUAAAAGGCUAAGAUUAAUUUAAAAGACGAGAAGACCCUAUAGAGUUUUAUAAUUUAUUUUUGUUAUUUUAAAAGUUUAUUUUUUAUAAUAUUAAUAAAAUUAUUUUAUUGGGGUGAUAAUAAAAUUUAAUUAACUUUUAUAUUAUUAUUACAUUAAUAUAUGAAUUUUUGAUCCAAUAUUAUUGAUUAAAAAAUUAAAUUACCUUAGGGAUAACAGCGUAAUUUUUUUUUAAGUUCUUAUUAAUAAAAUAUUUUGCGACCUCGAUGUUGGAUUAAGAUUAAAUUUUAGGUGCAGCAGCUUAAACUUUAAGUCUGUUCGACUUUUAAAUUCUU